rnacentral:rRNA from 1 species
CAAUACGGAGUGGCAGACGGGUGAGUAACACGUGGGAACGUGCCUUUUGGUUCGGAACAACACAGGGAAACUUGUGCUAAUACCGGAUAAGCCCUUACGGGGAAAGAUUUAUCGCCAAAAGAUCGGCCCGCGUCUGAUUAGCUAGUUGGUGAGGUAACGGCUCACCAAGGCUACGAUCAGUAGCUGGUCUGAGAGGAUGAUCAGCCACACUGGGACUGAGACACGGCCCAG